rnacentral:misc_RNA from 1 species
GGAAGUAAAAGUCGUAACAAGAUUUCCGUAGGUGAACCUGCGGAAGGAUCAUUACAGUGUCCUCUGCCCUCACGGGUAGAGACGCCCACCCUUGUGUAUUAUAUCUUUGUUGCUUUGGCAGGCCGCCCUCGGGCACCGGCUCCGGCUGGAUCGCGCCUGCCAGAGGAAACCCAAACUCUGAAUGUUAGUGUCGUCUGAGUACUAUCUAAUAGUUAAAACUUUCAACAACGGAUCUCUUGGUUCUG